rnacentral:rRNA from 1 species
AGUGAACGCUGGCGGUAGGCCUAACACAUGCAAGUCGAACGGCAGCACAGUAAGAGCUUGCUCUUACGGGUGGCGAGUGGCGGACGGGUGAGGAAUACAUCGGAAUCUACUUUUUCGUGGGGGUUAACGUAGGGAAACUUACGCUAAUACCGCAUACGACCUACGGGUGAAAGCAGGGGAUCUUCUGACCUUGCGCGAUUGAAUGAGCCGAUGUCUGAUUAGCUAGUUGGCGGGUUGAAGGCCCACCAAGGCGACGAUCCGUAGCUGGUCUGAGAGGCUGAGCAGCCACGAUGGAGUGGAGACCCGGUCCAGACUCCUACGGGAGGCAGGAGUGGGGAAUAUUGGAGAAGGGGCGAAAGCCUGAUACAGCCAUACCGCGUGGGUGAAGAAGGCCUUCGGGUUGUAAAGCCCUUUUGUUGGGAAAGAAAAGCAGCAGGUUAAUACCCCGCUGUUCUGACGGUACCCAAAGAAUAAGCACCGGCUAACUUCG